rnacentral:rRNA from 1 species
GCAGCGAUAUUUCGAUUCAUCCUUUUCUUUCAAGGAUUUCAUAAUUGGACGUUGAACCCAUUUCAUAUGAUGGGAGUUGCCGGAGUAUUAGGUGCGGCUCUGCUAUGCGCUAUUCAUGGAGCGACCGUAGAAAACACUCUAUUUGAGGACAGUGAUGGUGCAAAUACCUUCCGUGCUUUUAACCCAACUCAAGCUGAAGAAACUUAUUCAAUGGUCACUGCUAACCGCGGAACAUAUCAACACGGAGUCUAG